rnacentral:rRNA from 1 species
UACAGAGGUCUCAAGCGUUGUUCGGAUUCAUUGGGCGUAAAGGGUGCGUAGGCGGCGCGGUAAGUCGGGUGUGAAAUCUUGGAGCUUAACUCCGAAACUGCAUUCGAUACUGCCGUGCUUGAGGACUGGAGAGGAGACUGGAAUUCCCGGUGUAGCGGUGAAAUGCGCAGAUAUCGGGAGGAACACCAGUGGCGAAGGCGGCGAUCUGGGCAGAUACUGACGCUGAUGUGCGAAAGCGUGGGGAGCAAACAGG